rnacentral:tRNA from 1 species
GUCCCCGUGGCACAGCUGGAUAGCGCGUCUGCCUCCGGAGCAGAAGGCCGUGGGUUCGAAUCCCGCCGGGGACGCCA